UGGAUGCACUCUUCCACUUCAUCCAUCCAGCUUGUAUUCUAUGGUUGAGGUCUUCAUCCAAUUCUCCAUUCUUUUGCAAGAUAGAUCCUAAGUAGCAAAAAUGGUCGCUCUUUGGUACUUCCUGGUCUCCAAUCCUCACCCCUAACUCAUUUGAGCAUCCGUUUGCACUGAACUUGCAUAGAAAAAAGGUAGAUAUGUGGAAAAAAUCAAUCUCCAACUUCCAAUUACGCAUAAUAGCAGAUAAGAGUCGCGUAAUAACGAAUGAGAGUAGUCAUCACACAAGAUUAGCCUAAAGCACAUGAAUAAGUCGCAAAGAAGUGCUUCGAAUCGGGAGAUAGAUAUAAAGUUAAAAGGAGCGAAAAAAUUUAUAAAUAAAAAAGGUUUGGGGGGGAAGGAUUAGGAUGAUGAGGAUUGAGCAAAGAAAGGUUAUUGGAUACUAAAAUCUCAACAUGACUAGUCUCACAAUGGACUUGUUAUUCACUAACACGAAAAUCAAAUGUCAGGAGAAAGAGGGAGAAACUUGCUCUGUCCUUCCCUCUUGCAGCUGUAGUUUUUCUCUAGGUCUUAGACUAAGUCACUAGUAAGCAUCAUUAACAAGCAAGUAGUGAAAGAGAUCCAAUUUUCGUUAUGAAGUACAUUGAACGA
rnacentral:lncRNA from 1 species